CGGGUCCUUGUAACUGACACUGAGGCUCGAAAGCGUGGGGAGCAAACAGGAUUAGAUACCCUGGUAGUCCACGCCGUAAACGAUGAGUGCUAAGUGUUAGAGGGUUUCCGACCUUUAGUGCUGAAGUUAACGCAUUAAGCACUCCGCCUGGGGAGUCCGGCCGCAAGGCUGAAACUCAAAGGAAUUGACGGGGGCCCGCACAAGCGGGGGAGCAUGUGGUUUAAUUCAAAGCAACGCAAAAAACCUUACCAGGUUUUGACAUCCUCUGACAACCCUAAAGAUAGGGCUUCUCCUUCGGGAGCAGAGUGACAGGGGGGGCAUGGUUGUCGUCAGCUCGUGUCGUGAAAUGUUGGGUUAAGUCCCGCAACAACCGCAACCCUUGAUCUUAGUUGCCAUCAUUAAGUUGGGCACUCUAAGGUGACUGCCGGGGACAAACCGGAGGAAGGUGGGGAUGACGUCAAAUCAUCAUGCCCCUUAUGACCUGGGCUACACACGUGCUACAAUGGACGGUACAAAAAGCUGCAAGACCGCGAGGUGGAGCUAAUUUUAUAAAACCGUUUUCAGUUCGGAUUGUAGGCUGCAACUCGCCUACAUGAAGCUGGAAUCCCUAAUAAUCGGAGGAUCACCAUGCCCGCAGAGAAUACUUUCCCGCGGCCUUGUACACACCGCCCGUCACA
rnacentral:rRNA from 1 species